CCAAUAAAAGAUAUCGAGACGCAAAAAGAAAAGAAAAAGCGAAGGGACACGGGACUUUUACUUUUACGUCGCCUUUUGUAAUUUCUUUUGUUCGCUUGCUUGCUGCAAGUUCAAAAUAAUAAUAAAAAGA
rnacentral:ribozyme from 1 species